UACGGGGGGAGCAAGCGUUGUUCGGAUUUACUGGUCGUAACGGGCGCGUAGGCGGCCACCGCAAGUCGACUGUGAAAUCUCCGGGCUUAACCCGGAAAGGUCAGCCGAUACUGCGGGGCUAGAGUGCAGAAGGGGCAACUGGAAUUCUCGGUGUAGCGGUGAAAUGCGUAGAUAUCGAGAGGAACACCUGCGGCGAAGGCGGGUUGCUGGGCUGACACUGACGCUGAGGCGCGAAAGCUAGGGGAGCGAACGGG
rnacentral:rRNA from 1 species